UUCCAUAUGAAGCAGCCCCGGAUGAUGAGGCGGAAAAUGAUGAAUGAAUAAUUGUAGUUUUAAAGUUUGUUUUUAUAUGUUGUAUUGUCUUCCCUGUUGCUGUAAUUUCUUUCCAAUAAAUAAACAAGGUUUAUUUCAUCUUUGGCAUCUUAUUAUUAUUUUUGCUAAUGGCAAAAGGCGAAAGAUAACGGGUAUGCACUCUCGGUAUUUAUAAGCUUAAAUUGAGGGGGAAUUCUCAAAUUGAGGGGGAACAAAUUGCAUACUUGUUA
rnacentral:lncRNA from 1 species